rnacentral:rRNA from 1 species
GCGUCUUACUAGAACGAAUCCGACGGUGAGGGACGAAGCCCUAGGUCGCAAACGGGAUUAGAUACCCCGGUAGUCUAGGGUGUAAACGCUGCAGACUUGGUGUUGGAGGCCCUUCGGGGGCAUUCAGUGCCGGAGAGAAGUUGUUAAGUCUGCUACUUGGGGAGUACGUCCGCAAGGAUGAAACUUAAAGGAAUUGGCGGGGGAGCACCGCAACGGGAGGAGCGUGCGGUUUAAUUGGAUUCAACACCGGAAAACUCACCAAGGGAGACCAUCACAUGAAAGCCAGGCUAAUGACUUUGCUUGAUUCUUGGAGAAGUGGUGCAUGGCCAUCGUCAGUUCGUACUGUAAAGCGUUCUCUUAAGUGAGAUAACGAACAAGACCCUCACUUAUAAUUGCUAACUAGAUCUCCGGAUCUGGUGCACAUUAUCGGGACCGCUGGCGCUAAGUCAGAGGAAGGAGAGGUCAACGGUAGGUCAGUAUGCCCUGAAUCUCUUGGGCUACACGCGCGCUACAAAGGGCGGGACAAUGAGUUCCGACACCGAAAGGUGAAGGUAAUCUCCAAACCCGUCCGUAGUUCGGACUGAGG